CAAGGAACGCUGGUCCAACCAGCAUCCUCCAACCCAAUGCGUACCGACCUUGUUGCCUCGGCGUGCCAGCGCCGUCGAUGGUGCUGCCGGCCCCGGCUGGAUAGCGCACGCCAGAGGAACCGCAAACUCCAGCUUUAACAAGUGCGGUCUGAGCUUGAACCUAAUGCGUUUA
rnacentral:misc_RNA from 1 species